rnacentral:rRNA from 1 species
AUUGAACGCUGGCGGCAUGCCUUACACAUGCAAGUCGAACGGUAACAGGCCGCAAGGUGCUGACGAGUGGCGAACGGGUGAGUAAUGCAUCGGAACGUGCCCAGUCGUGGGGGAUAACUGCUCGAAAGAGCAGCUAAUACCGCAUACGACCUGAGGGUGGAAGCGGGGGACCGUAAGGCCUCGCGCGAUUGGAGCGGCCGAUGUCAGAUUAGCUAGUUGGUGGGGUAAAGGCCUACCAAGGCAACGAUCUGUAGUUGGUCUGAGAGGACGACCAGCCACACUGGGACUGAGACACGGCCCAGACUCCUACGGGAGGCAGCAGUGGGGAAUUUUGGACAAUGGGCGCAAGCCUGAUCCAGCAAUGCCGCGUGCAGGAAGAAGGCCUUCGGGUUGUAAACUGCUUUUGUCAGGGAAGAAAUCUUCUGGGCUAAUACCCCGGGAGGAUGACGGUACCUGAAGAAUAAGCACCGGCUAACUACGUGCCAGCCGCCGCAGUAAUAC